AUAUAUGUCUGGUAGGGGAGAUACCAUGGCCACGAAGGUGGUUUUCCCAGAAGGAGGCUUAUCCAUUGAACUCCGGAUGCACUGAUCCUCAAGAUUUACCCAAAUUGGAGAAAUUCAACUGCAUAAUUUGUGGGGUUCUGUGUUUGUGCUCCCUUUAA